AGUGAACGCUGGCGGUAGGCCUAACACAUGCAAGUCGAACGGCAGCACAGUAAGAGCUUGCUCUUACGGGUGGCGAGUGGCGGACGAGUGAGGAAUACAUCGGAAUCUACUUUUUCGUGGGGGAUAACGUAGGGAAACUUACGCUAAUACCGCAUACGACCUACGGGUGAAAGCAGGGGAUCUUCGGACCUUGCGCGAUUGAAUGAGCCGAUGUCGGAUUAGCUAGUUGGCGGGGUAGAGGCCCACCAAGGCGACGAUCCGUAGCUGGUCUGAGAGGAUGAUCAGCCACACUGGGACUGAGACACGGUCCAGACUCCUACGGGAGGCAGCAGUGGGGAAUAUUGGACAAUGGGCGCAAGCCUGAUCCAGCCAUACCGCGUGGGUGAAGAAGGCCUUCGGGUUGUAAAGCCCUUUUGUUGGGAAAGAAAAGCAGCAGGUUAAUACCCCGCUGUUCUGACGGUACCCAAAGAAUAAGCACCGGCUAACUUCGUG
rnacentral:rRNA from 1 species